CCUACGUGUGACAGCAGUGAGGAAUAUUGGUCAAUGGGCGCGAGCCUGAACCAGCCAAGUAGCGUGAAGGAUGACUGCCCUACGGGUUGUAAACUUCUUUUAUAAAGGAAUAAAGUGAGGCACGUGUGCCUUUUUGUAUGUACUUUAUGAAUAAGGAUCGGCUAACUCCGUGCCAGCAGCCGCGGUAAUACGGAGGAUCCGGGCGUUAUCCGGAUUUAUUGGGUUUAAAGGGAGCGUAGAUGGGUUGUUAAGUCAGUUGUGAAAGUUUGCGGCUCAACCGUAAAAUUGCAAUUGAUACUGGCAGUCUUGAGUACAGUUGAGGUAGGCGGAAUUCGUGGUGUAGCGGUGAAAUGCUUAGAUAUCACGAAGAACUCCGAUUGCGAAGGCAGCUUACUAAACUGCCACUGACAUUGAUGCUCGAAAGUGUGGGUAUCAAACAGGAUUAGAUACCCCAGUAGUC
rnacentral:rRNA from 1 species